UUGGUGAUUCAUGAUAACUUCACGGAUCGCAUGGCCUUGCGCCGGCGACGGUUCAUUCAAAUUUCUGCCCUAUCAACUUUCGAUGGUAAGGUAUUGGCUUACCAUGGUUUCAACGGGUAACGGGGAAUUAGGGUUCGAUUCCGGAGAGGGAGCCUGAGAAACGGCUACCACAUCCAAGGAAGGCAGCAGGCGCGCAAAUUACCCAAUCCCGACACGGGGAGGUAGUGACAAUAAAUACUGAUACAGGGCUCUUUUGGGUCUUGUAAUUGGAAUGAGUACAAUUUAAACCUCUUAACGAGGAACAAUUGGAGGGCAAGUU
rnacentral:rRNA from 1 species